ACCUGGGUGGCUCAGUCGGUUGAGCGUCCGACUUUGGCUCAGGUCAUGAUCUCACGGUCUGCGGGUUUGAGCCCCGCCUCGGGCU
rnacentral:tRNA from 1 species